CAAAAUGUCCUCCACCUUCUCGACUAUGACAAAAAUUAAGCACCGAUUCUAUUUCACUAUCAUCGACACAACACCUAAUUAUUUGGUCACCACAAAAUCGCCAAAGGUAUGGCUCUUCCCAUAAGUAAAAUCGGGCUUGACUUCUAAUUUUUUCUUUCAAAUGUCUAGGUGCAUUCGUAGGAAACUGUCUAGUCACUAAGUAGUUCACUAUGUCGGCAUACCAUGGAAAAGUACUAGACACACUAUAAAGUCACUCAUCGGAAAAU
rnacentral:lncRNA from 1 species